GCUAGUGUGGCAUAGUGGUGUGAGGGCUGGAUAAUGACUCUAGAUGCCAGGGUUCAAUUCCCUGCUCAGCC